rnacentral:lncRNA from 1 species
GCAAGCCAUGCGAAACAAGCCAUUGGGCAGCAUUCCUCCAUGGUUCCUGCUUCAGCUCCUGCCCUUCAUGACAGACUGUAGCCUGUAAGCUGACAUAAAGCCUUUCCUUCCCAGGUUGCUUUUGGUCACGAUAGACAUCACAGCAACAGAAAGCAAACUAAGACACUCUUGCUACUUUCUGCCCCAUUGAGAAGCUACUGCCUCGUAUGUCUGCUUCCCUGGAUGGAACUACUUCUCCAUGCCUUUCCCAACGUGAUGGUCUGAAAUCCUUGCGAGCCCAAAUCAACCCUUCCUCCCUCGUGUUGUUUCUGCCACGUAGCUUGUUCACAGCGAUAUGAAAAAUUGGAGCAUCCAUGAGGGAAGGUACCAGAGAAGGAACUUGGUGUGGUGGUCUCAGUUGCUAGCUGACUGGCAAUCUGGUGAUAGUAGGAGCUGUGCCAGUCUUGCACUGUAAGCUAAAGAAACCCUCCAAGUUACUUUUUUAAAUGGAUAUUUCAUCAUAGCAACAUAAAUGAAACUAGGACCGCAUGGGGGAA